rnacentral:rRNA from 1 species
UACGGGAGGCAGCAGUGGGGAAUCUUGGACAAUGGGCGCAAGCCUGAUCCAGCCAUGCCGCGUGAGUGAUGAAGGCCUUAGGGUCGUAAAGCUCUUUCGCCUGUGAAGAUAAUGACGGUAGCAGGUAAAGAAACCCCGGCUAACUCCGUGCCAGCAGCCGCGGUAAUACGGAGGGGGUUAGCGUUGUUUGGAAUUACUGGGCGUAAAGCGCACGUAGGCGGACUGGAAAGUAUGGGGUGAAAUCCCAGGGCUCAACCCUGGAACUGCCUCAUAAACUAUCAGUCUAGAGUUCGAGAGAGGUGAGUGGAAUUCCAAGUGUAGAGGUGAAAUUUGUAGAUAUUUGGAGGAACACCAGUGGCGAAGGCGGCUCACUGGCUCGAUACUGACGCUGAGGUGCGAAAGUGUGGGGAGCAAACAGGAUUAGAUACCCUGGUAGUCCACACCGUAAACGAUGAAUGCCAGUCGUCGGGUAGCAUGCCAUUCGGUGACACACCUAA